rnacentral:lncRNA from 1 species
AAGAGAGUGUGAGGGAGGGAGAGAGAGUGAACUGAGAGAGAGUGAGAGGGAGAGAGGGACUAAUAAGCCCUCUAAUGUAACAAUAUCCCAGUAGGCCCCUCAACUUUUCACUCUAUGCACUGCCCUUACUGGGCGUUCUGCGCGCGGAGGGACCGGUCUCCCCGACUUGGGACCGGUCCCCGAGAGCUUCAGCUCGGGUCACGCGUUCGGGUACCGGUCUCUCCCAGAGAGAUCGGUCCUCGGGAGACCGGUUCCUCCCAAAGAGACCGGUUCCCGAGAACUGGAAUCUCAGGACUUAGCCAAUUUUUGGCUUUCCUCGCAGGGAUCACGUUCGGGAACCGGUCCCUCCCUGCCAGGGACCGGUUGCCUCAAGCAACCCCGCGACAUCAGCUGAUGAGACCGGUCCCUUCCUGCCAGGGACCGGUCCCCGAGAGCAAUUUGCUCCAGUGCAAGUUUUGCACUAUUUGCUCUCGUGGACUUAUUCCAAUGCACCCUUGGUGAUCUUAACAUCUUUGGCUUUUCCAAAGCUUAUCAACACGACCCUUGGUCGGUUUUACAUGAAGUCUAACUCUCGUAUUUCGAGAAUUCACUUCCUCACACCAUCCCUGGCUGUAAAUCCAUAGCUAGUGAAGUCACCCCUUUACCUUGGCAUUAGGUGACAUCCCCGUAUAUCCCCGGCUAUAGGAUUAUAGUUAGCAACUUUAUCUCUUGCACCUUCACCUUGGCAUUAGGUGGCAUUCCGCACGCCCCUAGCCUUAGGUUUCGAGAUUCCGGAAUCACCUCAUUCAUGGUCUCAAGUGUCCAUAUGUUUUUCACCCUAUGUUGUCAACUUUUCUAAGUUCAAGUCAUAUUAUCCAAGUGGUAUCCUACCUACUAUAUUUUCCAACCUAUGUUUAAUAGUACUAUGUGUUCUAGUGUUCACAUAUUGAGUUCUUUAAUGUUACUAGAGAAUGUCUGUCACGCCCCGAGACCGCUACCAAUUUGGUCCGGCCCGGGCGCGUCGAACAAACGCCGAACGGACAGGACCUCCCCUGCCCGCCCAAGGCUAACCACUGAUCAUGUAUAAGAAUUUACCUAGGAGUUAAUUCAUAGAUACACGAUUACAAGGAGCACCACCAGUGCUAACAAACAAGAGCAAGGUACAAGUAUGAAACAUACAAGUAGAUAAAGAGAGAAGAUUCUAUCUAUUACAUUCAUUCAACUUAAUACAUUUAGUUCCAUCUUUUACAUUCUUCCAAAAUAUAAAUACAAGCACUCAAGUCUCACCCUAUACAGCAUCUACUCUCAAACAUACAUACAGGGUGGAGCUAAUGCAAAAUAGGUGGAUAGCUAAUGCAACUAGGGUGCUAGGCCCUUACUGCGAUCCUCGCGCUCACCUGGGACGCCCGAGCUCGAACCUGAAAAGAGUGGGGUGAGAACUAUCUUCCAUAGUUCCCAGUGGGUUCGGCCGCCGACUUCGCCGGUCUCCCCACUAGGUCCAAGUGGGCACAAGUAGAUAAACAAAUAGAUAGAUAUAAAAGCUGUAGAAACAGAUAGUAAGCUACUCUACUGUGCCCGAAUCAUGAAUAUAAUGGAUGCAUGCACAAUGAAAUAGAUAAUCAACUAGCUCUUCAUAUGUCCAAGAAGUAAAGCUAUUUACUCGUUUAUUAACCUCGUGGCUCAUUCAGGAUUCCGCCUACUACUCAUAUAGCCGUCUCGAUACUACGAAUCCGAGACCGUCUGCGGGACCCCACCUAGGCUAUCCCUCGGGACCCCAAAUAGGCUAUCCCUAUCCCACGGGACCCCACAUAGGCUAUCCCUCGUGACCGAUUCCGGAGCGCACUACUUGUGUGGAGCGACCAUCACAAGUUGGGAGCAGACAAUGAGUAUGAUCCAAUUCUCCCACCUCAAGGGUGCCCUAUCUUCUAGGGUUACUGUCACCAUAGUCAAUGGGUCCCAUAUACGCUACAACUCAUACAUGCCACUCGUUUUUUGUUUAUUAACAACUAGAUGCCACUCGUUCUUUAUUUCAACUAUUGCAUCGUUCUUUCACUGCUGCACUAUAGGAUCACAAGUCUCGACCCAAUCCUCAUCAUCCCCUAUAUCCAGCAACUAAUGCAUAAUCUGAUAUCAGCUAGGAAACAUAAGGAAAGGCAAUUGCAUAAUUCUCCUACAAUGCAUGUGAACACAGGAUGCAAGAUCUCAAAAUACUAAGACAUAAAAGGGAGCCCGAUUGUUUCGGGAUAGACACCACCCACCUCUUGGCGAUGCCGCGACGGUAGAAAACUCGACGCUGUGGUCUUUGCACGUCGCUUCAACUCCUCGAGGCGAAGCGAGCCCUCAAGUACUCGUUUCGGCGAUUUCUCCGCACUCGCUCGUCGGAUCGACAAACCGUCUUCGCCGACGCGUUCCGAGACCUAGCAAUUUGGUUUACGACCUAUUAAAAUAGAUCAAAAUCCUAGAUUUCCAAAAAUCCCAAAUCCGUGCCCUAGAAUGGCAAUGAGGGGGAAAUCCGUGGUGCGAGCUUCAAAUUCGAGCUCGAACCUUCCAUUCAUCUCCUCUAGGUUCCAUUCGAACCAUUUCUAAGCAAUAAAAUCCCCAAACCCUAAAAACACCAUUAGAGGAUUUAGAGCUUACCUCUAAGCCAUGCUCCAAUCUUGCUCUAGCUUGAAGGAGAGAGGGAAGAAGAUCUUCUUCUUCUUCUUUGUCUUCUCCUUCCUCUUCUUCUUUUCCUCCCUUUUCUUCCUUUCCUUCUUCUUCUCCUUCUUUUCCUUUCUAGAGAGAGAGAGGGAAAGAGUGUGAGAGAGAGAUAGAGAGCAAAUGAGAGGAAGAGGGGUUCCCCAGCCUCUAUUAAAGGCCAUUUUGCAAAUAGCCCCCUCAACUUUUCAUCCUCUGAAUCAGCCCUCACUGGGCAUUUUCGCAGUGAGGGACCGGUCCCAGGUCGGGGAGACCGGUCCCCGAGAGCAUUCCAUCUCGGGCAGAGGGAUUUCGCGUUCGGGAACCGGUCCUCGCCCGAGAGACCGGUCCCCGGGAGACCGGUCCU